AGCGAACGCUGGCGGCAGGCUUAACACAUGCAAGUCGAGCGGGCCUUUCGGGGUCAGCGGCGGACGGGUGAGUAACGCGUGGGAACGUGCCCUCUGGUUCGGAAUAACUCAGGGAAACUUGAGCUAAUACCGGAUACGCCCUUUUGGGGAAAGGCUUGCUGCCGGAGGAUCGGCCCGCGUCUGAUUAGCUAGUUGGUGAGGUAACGGCUCACCAAGGCGACGAUCAGUAGCUGGUCUGAGAGGAUGAUCAGCCACACUGGGACUGAGACACGGCCCAGACUCCCACGGGAGGCAGCAGUGGGGAAUAUUGGACAAUGGGCGCAAGCCUGAUCCAGCCAUGCCGCGUGAGUGAUGAAGGCCUUAGGGUUGUAAAGCUCUUUUAUCCGGGACGAUAAUGACGGUACCGGAGGAAUAAGCCCCGGCUAACUUCGUG
rnacentral:rRNA from 1 species